UACGUAGGGUGCGAGCGUUGUCCGGAAUUAUUGGGCGUAAAGAGCUUGUAGGUGGUUUGUCGCGUCUGCUGUGAAAAUCCGAGGCUCAACCUCGGACUUGCAGUGGGUACGGGCAGACUAGAGUGUGGUAGGGGAGACUGGAAUUCCUGGUGUAGCGGUGGAAUGCGCAGAUAUCAGGAGGAACACCGAUGGCGAAGGCAGGUCUCUGGGCCACUACUGACGCUGAGAAGCGAAAGCAUGGGGAGCGAACAGG
rnacentral:rRNA from 1 species